rnacentral:lncRNA from 1 species
GGGCGCUCUGGGCCUAGCUCAGAGGACAUGCUCCUGAGGCUAGCUAUUUUUCUGCUACUACUCUGGCUAAGAGAGACAUGUAAGGGCUGGAUGUAAACUCCCAGAGGGCACCUCCUGGGCUAGAGAAGAUGCAGCAUGAGCUCAGGAAUUCAACACAACACGAAAUAAUCAACAAAUUCGGGGAAUGUUAAUCUGACCAUCACCAGUUACAAAUGAUGUUUCAUGCUACCUUCUAUUCCUGCCUUCAUAAAUCAAGGAAAAGAAAAAGAGAACAUAUAUCCCCCUACCUUUUGAUUUCCAACAGUCUACUGAGAGGCCAAGAUUAUUUGCAGGGAAAGAAAAGGGGAAUGCCAUCCCCACCCUCUCGCAGCUACGUGCCAGUUCCAGAGCACCUGUUCCCCUCUACUUUGAAAAGGUCAAAAUGUUUUGCCAGUAACUCCCAAAUCAUCUACAGCCAAGGAGAAAAGUGUUUCAAGACAGAGGUGCUCAAUGGUAUCAAAUACUGCCAACAGACCAAGUAAUACAUGCAUUGAAGUGUCUACUGGAUCUAGCUAUAUGAAUUUUUAAUUUAGGACACUUAGGCCAUACUGAAGCAAGGUGACAAAAUGAAUAGCUACAAUGUCUCGUGAAUCUUGGGUUUCCAUUCACCCUGGUAUUCAAGAGAAAUUCUUGCAUCAUGGAAGUUGCAGUUGGAUAGGACUUUCUCAGCUGAACACUGUCAUCUGCCAGAGCUUCAGGCAAGAACCCAGAACAGAUGAAACCCCAGACAUGACAAAAUAAGCCAAAGAAUACCAGGCCAAGGUGUGAAAGGCCAGAUGAGAACAAGCAGCGUACACGAUUCUGUUGCCAACAGAUCUCCCCUAACAGUGUCGUGCACCAAAUUUCCACAGUGAAUGUCAGGAAAAAAUGGCAAUUGAGGUGGGUGGUCAAAAGAGAAGCACAGUCUAUGAUGAAGUCACCCCAGAGAAGUCCUUUUUCCGUUUUCUCCUGAGAAAUUACCAGAAGAAAUUAAAAUCCUUUUGAGUAUUGCA